rnacentral:rRNA from 1 species
CCUACGGGGGGCAGCAGUGGGGAAUAUUGGACAAUGGGGGCAACCCUGAUCCAGCCAUGCCGCGUGUGUGAAGAAGGCCCUCGGGUUGUAAAGCACUUUCAGUGAGGAAGAACGCCUGGUGGUUAAUACCCAUCAGGAAAGACAUCACUCACAGAAGAAGCACCGGCUAACUCCGUGCCAGCAGCCGCGGUAAUGCGGAGGGUGCGAGCGUUAAUCGGAAUUACUGGGCGUAAAGCGCGCGUAGGUGGCUUGAUAAGCCGGUUGUGAAAGCCCCGGGCUCAACCUGGGAACGGCAUCCGGAACUGUCAAGCUAGAGUGCAGGAGAGGAAGGUAGAAUUCCCGGUGUAGCGGUGAAAUGCGUAGAGAUCGGGAGGAAUACCAGUGGCGAAGGCGGCCUUCUGGACUGACACUGACACUGAGGUGCGAAAGCGUGGGUAGCAAACAGGAUUAGAUACCCGAGUAGUC